GGCCCCGUAGCUCAGCUGGAUAGAGCAACGGACUUCUAAUCCGUAGGUCGUAGGUUCGAAUCCUACCGGGGUCGCCA
rnacentral:tRNA from 1 species